GCCAGUAGCUCAGUGGCAGAGUGUCUGCUUUGUGUGCAGAGGGUCCCAGGUUCAAUCCCUGGCAGCAACU